rnacentral:rRNA from 1 species
GAUGAACGCUGGCGGCGUGCCUAAUACAUGCAAGUCGAGCGAACAGACGAGGAGCUUGCUCCUCUGACGUUAGCGGCGGACGGGUGAGUAACACGUGGAUAACCUACCUAUAAGACUGGGAUAACUUCGGGAAACCGGAGCUAAUACCGGAUAAUAUAUUGAACCGCAUGGUUCAAUAGUGAAAGACGGUCUUGCUGUCACUUAUAGAUGGAUCCGCGCCGCAUUAGCUAGUUAGUAAGGUAACGGCUUACCAAGGCGACGAUGCGUAGCCGACCUGAGAGGGUGAUCGGCCACACUGGAACUGAGACACGGUCCAGACUCCUACGGGAGGCAGCAGUAGGGAAUCUUCCGCAAUGGGCGAAAGCCUGACGGAGCAACGCCGCGUGAGUGAUGAAGGUCUUCGGAUCGUAAAACUCUGUUAUUAGGGAAGAACAAAUGUGUAAGUAACUAUGCACGUCUUGACGGUACCUAAUCAGAAAGCCACGGCUAACUACGUG